CCAAAUCUUGACAUCUUUUGACCGCUCUAGAGAUAGAGUUUUCCUCUUCGGAGGACAAAAUGACAGGUGGUGCAUGGUUGUCGUCAGCUCGUGUCGUGAGAUGUUGGGUUAAGUCCCGCAACGAGCGCAACCCUUAAGCUUAGUUGCCAUCAUUAAGUUGGGCACUCUAAGUUGACUGCCGGUGACAAACCGGAGGAAGGUGGGGAUGACGUCAAAUCAUCAUGCCCCUUAUGAUUUGGGCUACACACGUGCUACAAUGGACAAUACAAAGGGUAGCGAAACCGCGAGGUCAAGCAAAUCCCAUAAAGUUGUUCUCAGUUCGGAUUGUAGUCUGCAACUCGACUACAUGAAGCUGGAAUCGCUAGUAAUCGUAGAUCAGCAUGCUACGGUGAAUACGUUCCCGGGUCUUGUACACACCGCCCGUCACACCACGAGAGUUUGUAACACCCGAAGCCGGUGGAGUAACCAUUUUGGAGCUAGCCGUCGAAGGUGGGACAAAUGAUUGGGGUGAAGUCGUAACAAGGUAGCCGUAUCGGAAGGUGCGGCUGGAUCACCUCCUUUCUAAGGA
rnacentral:rRNA from 1 species